rnacentral:lncRNA from 1 species
AAAAAGAAACUGCAUCCUCAAGGUUUUACUGUGUUGUGGCUGUUUUCUUCCACACUUGGCCAUGUUGCUCACUUCUCUAGGCACUUCUGAAUAUGAGUUAGUCACAUGUUUUUAUUUCUUUUAGGGGAGGUUAAGGUUGAUUACAUCCUUUAUGUUACUCUCACUCUUAUCAAUUUUGGCUAUACUCUCCAACUUUGAAGAUUAGAGAGUUAAUGGAAGACUCUUGGACAAGACAAGUGAGAGGGUGAUUGGCAGAUGAAGUUACAGGUAGGGACAAGAGUCACAGACAGUAAGAUUUUUAUCUCCUCAAAUAAUUUUUAUUUUUGAUUCAUUUGAGGUUGAUGUUGAUCUAAUGAUCCCACCUUAAACUUGGCUCAGAGCUAUGAUAAAUUAUUUUAGGUUUACAAGCACUAUGUUUUCGCAACUGUUUGAUAUUCAUGCUUGGUUUAAUUUUGGCUCUCUGCUACUUGUGGUUUAGUUUAAUGUAAUUUUGUUUAAUAUGCAUCUUUAGGCUUUGAGUGUGUUUGUUAUUGUUUGUCAAAUCAGUUAGAUCCUGAUAUAAUUGAUAUAACUAACACCCUUGGCAUCAACUAAGACAAUAUGUUAAUAUUCAAGGGAUCCUUUCAGAAAUAUACCUCAUCUUGAAUUCAACUAAUCUCUGGGAUUUUUUUUGGGGUGAAUGAAUGUAUGGGAGCAUGAGUAUAAGAUUUUAUUUAUAUAUUUAUUAUUCUACUGCAUCACAUACUUUCAUAGUAAUUAUUUUUUUCUGAAACGUGAAUCUCAUGUAAAAAGAUGGAACCAUUUUGAAAUUAAAUUAUUUCACGUUAUAAUUAUAAACUGAGGUUUUUCGUUGUCAAAAGUAACAUUUAUAUUUUAUUUUUUGUUUUUUUCUCUCCUUUUUUAAUGACUUCCAUUUUCUAUAACUUUGAUAACUCUAUAUAGCGUUGUCUUUUUCUGUGUAUUUUGAUAAACUAUACCAAAUGAUGAGAUACUUAGUCGGCCUUUAAAAUUUUUUACUUCGUAUUCUAUAGUAGUUAAUUAGGAUUGUUCUACGGGCCACAUAGUUGAAAAACACUAGGAAAUAGAAUGUGGUUAACCUACUUUCAUAGUAAUUAAAUACCCAUGGAAAAGUUCAUCUGCGUAUCAUUUUUGUUUUCAUAGAAGAAAUGUUUGUAUAAUAAUUUACUGUUAUGCACUGCACUGAAAUCCCAGUGACUACUUGGUUUAUGAAACUCACUAACUUUGCUGGACCUGACGCUUGUUUAUUUGUCUUGGUAUUAGGUAAGAUAGUGUUAUAAAUUUACUUUAGUUUUGUGUGUUUUAACAUGCAGAAUCUUUAUUAAAGAAAUCUUUACUCACAUGAAUGAUGGGCAACAAGGACAAUUGUAGAACCAAAUGUAGGUGCAUCAAAUCAUAAGAGACAAAAUUGAGUAUUCCAUUUAGUAGGAAAUUAGUUCUUGGUUGCAUAACUAGGUGGAAUUCUCUACAUUUUAAUGCUUCAAGUAGUCAUACAAUACAAAGAUGUAUUUGUGACUCUUGUCCUCACAACCACCAAUCACCCACCCACUUGCCUCUUCCAGAAGUCUUCCACAAUUAGUUCAUCAACGGCUCCAUAUAUCGUAGACCAUAUUAUGUAUUAAAAAGGUAUAAUCCUGAAUUUUAUUAUUUCCUCAUGUCAUUGUUAUAGACUAGCUACAUCUUGAGCCUCCAAACUAUAUAGUUGACAACCCACAAUUUACUUCAUUUAUGGUACGUUCAAGUAUUGUGACACAAGAUUUAUAAUAAAAGAAACCUGUAAUCAUACCCCCAUUAAGGAAUUGAUAUUUAAAAAUCAGUUAAAAUAAUAUUAGUUGUCAGUUAAGAGAGAAACACUUUCUUUCGCUGACACAACCAAAAGUAAAAAUAAAUUGCACUCUGUAAACUUUAGAUAAUAUUGAACACACCGGUUGUCAUUCAGACAUUAUUAACUCCAUUUCGUUCAGUCUGAAGAUGAAAAUUUACUGUUUCCACAUCACUUCCAUUGUUGGCCUUCAAAAUUCAAUGAACACCCUAGCCUAGACUUGAAUGCACAUACAAUUUUAGACAUAUAAAAGGUUUUUCGGGUUAAAAUAUUGCACUCUAGAUGUAUCACAAUUUACAAAAGCAGGGACCCAUGUAUAUUUUGAAACUCUUGCAGCAUGAAUAAAAAAAGGCAGCACUUCGAUAAAUAAGCUCAAUUUGACAAAACAAACUAUUAACUCUACCAUCUAUCCACUAUCCCUGUACACCUAAAAAACAUGGAUGUUUAAGUUCUUUUCUGAAAGCAAAAUAGAUGUUAAAGCUUAAAUUUAACUUUAGAACAAGCACACAGAAGUUAGGAAGAAGUUCUGCAAUUCACCAUGACAAAUGAAGCUUGAUUGCCUAAUUCAGCAACCGGUCACUUCUUCCAUUUCAAAACAAAAAUAAGCAGCUGCUCCCAUAAAAUAAGUAUAGAAUACGAUGCAUUAACUGUCUGAACUAAAGAUAUCAUCCUCGGAACGGCUCACUUUUUUGUUGUCAGUUAUCAUUGUCUGCUUUUCCUGCUCCAAAUAGUAUAUUUUGUCAUUCAUAUUGUCUUUUUUAUAUGCUUCAAUCAUGAUCAUGUAUGUUGUUUCGUCUGGUUGACAUUGGUUAUCUUUCAUACGCUUAUAAACUCUUUCCAUUUCCAUCAAAUCCUCUGCCUUUGCACAUGCAGAUAAGACUGCGUUAUAAAAGGCAAUAUUUUGAGGUAU